rnacentral:rRNA from 1 species
AUUGAAUACUGGCGGCAUGCUUUACACAUGCAAGUCGAACGGUAACAGGCCGCAAGGUGCUGACGAGUGGCGAACGGGUGGGUAAUGCAUCGGAACGUGCCCAGUCGUGGGGGAUAACGCAGCGAAAGCUGCGCUAAUACCGCAUACGAUCUAUGGAUGAAAGCGGGGGACCGUAAGGCCUCGCGCGAUUGGAGCGGCCGAUGUCAGAUUAGGUAGUUGGUGGGGUAAAGGCUCACCAGCCAACGAUCUGUAGCUGGUCUGAGAGGACGACCAGCCACACUGGGACUGAGACACGGCCCAGACUCCUACGGGAGGCAGCAGUGGGGAAUUUUGGACAAUGGGCGCAAGCCUGAUCCAGCAAUGCCGCGUGCAGGAAGAAGGCCUUCGGGUUGUAAACUGCUUUUGUACGGAACGAAACGGCUCUGGUUAAUACCUGGGGCUAAUGACGGUACCGUAAGAAUAAGCACCGGCUAACUACGUGCCAGCCGCCGCAGUAAGAC